ensembl:snRNA U6 U6 spliceosomal RNA
GUGCUCAAUUCAGAAGUACAUAUACUAAAAUUGGAACAAUAUAGAGAUUAGCGUGGCCCUUUUGCAAGAAUGACAUACAAAUUCAUGAAGGGCUCCAUAUAUUU